rnacentral:lncRNA from 1 species
AUUUGACAAAUUGCCUUGAAAGCCCACGCCAGAGUGGGAGCAGCUACCGUUGGUGAUGUCUGGGUUCUCCUGGUGGUGACUUUCCUGAGACGCACACCCCGAUGCACGAUGGAAGCCAGGGUAGGAGCAUUGUGGCCGAUGGAGGAAAUCGGGCCUGAUGGAAACAAGUCGAUCGCCUUGCCGCUCCUGCUAACCGAUGGGGGGAUGUUGUCA